rnacentral:rRNA from 1 species
AGAGUUUGAUCCUGGCUCAGAACGAACGCUGGCGGCAUGCCUAACACAUGCAAGUCGAACGCGGGGCUUCGGCCCCGAGUGGCGCACGGGUGAGUAGCGCGUGGGAACCUGCCCUUCAGUGGGGGAUAACCGAGGGAAACUUCGGCUAAUACCGCAUGCGCCCGGAGCAAUCCGGGGAAAGAUUUAUCGCUGAAGGAGGGGCCCGCGUCGGAUUAGCUAGUUGGUAGGGUAACGGCCUACCAAGGCUUUGAUCCGUAGCUGGUCUGAGAGGAUGAUCAGCCACACUGGGACUGAGACACGGCCCAGACUCCUACGGGAGGCAGCAGUGGGGAAUAUUGGACAAUGGGCGAAAGCCUGAUCCAGCAAUGCCGCGUGAGUGAGGAAGGCCUUAGGGUUGUAAAGCUCUUUCGGCGGGGACGAUGAUGACGGUACCCGCAGAAGAAGCCCCGGCUAACUUCGUGCCAGCAGCCGCGGUAAUACGAAGGGGGCGAGCGUUGUUCGGAUUUACUGGGCGUAAAGGGCGCGCAGGCGGUCAUUUUUGUCGAGUGUGAAAGCCCCGGGCUUAACCUGGGAACUGCGCUCGAAACGGGAUGACUAGAGAUCGGGAGAGGAGAGUGGAAUUCCCAGUGUAGAGGUGAAAUUCGUAGAUAUUGGGAAGAACACCGGUGGCGAAGGCGGCUCUCUGGACCGAUACUGACGCUGAGGCGCGAAAGCGUGGGGAGCAAACAGGAUUAGAUACCCUAGUAGUCC